rnacentral:rRNA from 1 species
UUAUCCCACGCAAAUCAUUUACCUAUAACGAUUCACUACCCUUAUGGAAAAUCAAUUACACCAGAGCGUUUCCGAGGGCGAAUCCACUUUGAAUUUGAUAAAUGUAUUGCUUCUGAAGUAUGUGUUUGUGUAUGUCUGAUAGAUCUACCCGUUGUGGAUUGGAGAUUUGAAAAAGAUAUUAAAAGAAAAUAA